rnacentral:rRNA from 1 species
UUAAAUUUUAUUUAUUAAUUUUUUUAGAUAAAAAUUUAGUUUAUUAAAAAUAAUUAUAAAAUUUUUUGUUUUAGUAAUUUUUAAUGAAAAAAUAAAUUUAAUAAUAGUUAAAUAGUAUUGUAAAAGAAAAUUGAAAUAUUUUGAAAAAAUAUUAUUUUAUAAGAAAAUUUUAUUUAUUGUACCUUGUGUAUCAGGGUUUAUCAAAUAAAAAAUAAUUAUAUUUAUUUUUCUCGAUUUUAAAAGAUUUAAUAUAUUAAUAAAGUUAAUGUAAUAAAAUUAUUUUUAAUAAUAUAUUAGAAAUGAAAUGUUAUUCGUUUUUAAAGGUAUCUAGUUUUUUUAGAAAUAAAUUCAAUUUAUUAGUAGUAAAUUUAUUUAAUUAUUUAAUUAAUUAAAUAAUUUAUUAUUAAAAUAUUUUACGGGAUAAGCUGUAAAAUAAAAUUUUAAAAAUAAAAAUUUAAUAUAAAAAUAUAUGCUUAUAAUUAGCAAUUAUUAAUAAGUUUGUUAUAAAAUAUUUAAAUUUAUAAUAUUAUUUAUUUAGUUUUUAAAUUUCUAUAAAAAUAUUUAUUUUAAUAAAGAAAAUAAAGAAAAAAUGAUAAAAUUAGUAUAUUAUAUUGUAAAAAUAAAUUUAAAUGAUAAGUUAAUGUAAAG